rnacentral:rRNA from 1 species
UACGGGGGGGGUAAGCGUUGUUCGGAAUUACUGGGCGUAAAGGGCUCGUAGGCGGCCAACUAAGUCGGACGUGAAAUCCCUCAGCUUAACUGGGGAACUGCUUGGUAUACUGCGGAUCUUGAGCCACCUAGGGGCAAGUGGAACAAGCGGUGGAGCGGUGAAAUGCGUAGAUAUCGCUUGGAACGCCAAUGGUGAAAACAACUUGCUGGGGGUGUGCUGACGCUGAGACACGAAAGCCAGGGGAGCAAACGGG